rnacentral:rRNA from 1 species
CAAUAGCGUAUAUUUAAGUUGCUGCAGUUAAAAAGCUCGUAGUUGGAUUUCGGGUGGGAAUGGCCGGUCCGCCGUUUCGGUGUGCACUUGCUACGCCCACCUUGCUGCCGGGGACGUGCUCUUGAGUUCACGCUCGGGACACGGAGUCGGCGAGGUUACUUUGAGUAAAUUAGAGUGUUCAAAGCAGGCCUACGCUCUGAAUACAUUAGCAUGGAAUAAUAAGAUAGGACUUUGGUACUAUUUUGUUGGUUUGCAUACCAAAGUAAUGAUUAACAGGAACAGUUGUGGAUAUUCGUAUGAGCAUGUCAGAGGUGAAAUUCUUGGAUUUUGGUCAGACGAACUACUGCGAAAGCAUUUAUCAAGGAUGUUUUCAUUAA